GGAGCAUACAGCUCAAUGGUAGAGCUUGUGCUUAGCAUGCACGAUGUCCUGGGCUCAAUCCCCACUACCUCCA
rnacentral:tRNA from 1 species